UUGCUGAUGCGGCCACGGCGAGUGAAGCGGCAACAGCUCAAAUUUGAAAUCUGGCUCCCAGAGCCCGAGUUGUAAUUUGUAGAGGAUGCUUUUGAUGCGGUGCCUUCCGAGUUCCCUGGAACGGGACGCCAUAGAGGGUGAGAGCCCCGUCUGGUCGGAUGCCAAAUCUCUGUAAAGCUCCUUCGACGAGUCGAGUAGUUUGGGAAUGCUGCUCAAAAUGGGAGGUAUAUGUCUUCUAAAGCUAAAUACCGGCCAGAGACCGAUAGCGCACAAGUAGAGUGAUCGAAAGAUGAAAAGCACUUUGAAAAGAGGGUUAAAAAGUACGUGAAAUUGUUGAAAGGGAAGCGCCUAUGACCAAACUUGGGCCCGGUGAAUCAUCCAGCGUUCUCGCUGGUGCACUUUGCCGGGCACAGGCCAGCAUCAGUUUGUCUUGAGGGAAAAAGGCUUUGGGAAUGUGGCUCCCUCGGGAGUGUUAGAUACGGUUGCAUAAUACCCUGGGACAGAUGGAGGUUCUCCCAUCUGCAUUGAUGCGGGCAUCCUGGUCGGCUUCUUCUCCUCCUCUUACAGAUACCCAA
rnacentral:rRNA from 1 species